UUGGGUCUAAAGGGUCUGUAGCCGGCCGGAUAAGUCUCUUGAGAAAUCUGGCAGCUUAACUGUCAGGCUUUCAGGAGAUACUGUCUGGCUCGAGGCCGGGAGAGGUGAGAGGUACUUCAGGGGUAGGGGUGAAAUCUUGUAAUCCUUGAAGGACCACCAGUGGCGAAGGCGUCUCACCAGAACGGACCUGACGGCAAGGGACGAAAGCUAGGGGCACGAACCGGAUUAGAUACCCGGGUAGUCCUAGCCGUAAACGAUACUCGCUAGGUGUCGGCCACGGUGCGACCGUUGUCGGUGCCGUAGGGAAGCCGUGAAGCGAGCCACCUGGGAAGUACGGCCGCAAGGCUGAAACUUAAAGGAAUUGGCGGGGGAGCACCACAACGGGUGGAGCUUGCGGUUUAAUUGGAUUCAACGCCGGAAAUCUUACCGGGACCGACAGCAAUAUGAAGGCCAGGCUGAAGACUUUGCCGGAUUAGCUGAGAGGUGGUGCAUGGCCGUCGUCAGUUCGUACUGUGAAGCAUCCUGUUAAGUCAGGCAACGAGCGAGACCCA
rnacentral:rRNA from 1 species